UAGUGAAACCGCGAAUGGCUCAUUAAAUCAGUUAUGGUUCAUUUGUUUAUAACUCUCUCAUAUGGAUAACUGCGGUAACCCUGCAGCUAAUACAUGCGAAGCGCUUAGCGACGGCCCUCGGGCGGCUGAGAACUUUUAUUUGCAUAACCUGUUGUCGGGGGAACUCGGCACGCGAUGAUGAAUCUGAGUAACUGAAAGACCCACAUAUGCUAAACGCAGUGGGCGAUGCAUUCGAGUAUCUGCCCUAUCAACUUCUGACGGUAGUGUAACGGACUACCGUGGUUGUAACGGGUAACGGGGAAUCAGGGUUCGAUUCCGGAGAGGGAGCCUGAGAAACGGCUACCACAUCUAAGGAAGGCAGCAGGCGCGCAAAUUACCCAAUCCCGGAACGGGGAGGUAGUGACGAAAAAUAACAAUAUGAGCCCUUACGGGUUUGUGAUUGGAAUGGAAGGAAUUUAACAACUUCCUUGAGGAUCUAGUGGAGGGCAAGUCUGGUGCCAGCAGCCGCGGUAAUACCAGCCUCCACAAGCAUAUGCAAAAGUUGCUGC
rnacentral:rRNA from 1 species